rnacentral:rRNA from 1 species
CCUACGGGAGGCUGCAGUGGGGAAUAUUGCACAAUGGGCGCAAGCCUGAUGCAGCCAUGCCGCGUGUGUGAAGAAGGCCUUAGGGUUGUAAAGCACUUUCAGCGAGGAGGCGUUACUCGCAGAAGAAGCACCGGCUAACUCCGUGCCAGCAGCCGCGGUAAUACGGAGGGUGCAAGCGUUAAUCGGAAUUACUGGGCGUAAAGCGCACGCAGGCGGUUUGUUAAGUCAGAUGUGAAAUCCCCGCGCUUAACGUGGGAACUGCAUUUGAAACUGGCAAGCUAGAGUCUUGUAGAGGGGGGUAGAAUUCCAGGUGUAGCGGUGAAAUGCGUAGAGAUCUGGAGGAAUACCGGUGGCGAAGGCGGCCCCCUGGACAAGCUGACGCUCAGGUGCGAAAGCGUGGGGAGCAAACAGGAUUAGAUACCCUUGUAGUC